UAUUAAUUUUAUUAUUUAUUUUUUUUAUUAAAAUUAUUUUUUUAUUUAUUAUUAAAAAGAAAAAUUUAUUUUUAUAAUAGUUUAUUAUUUAAAGUGAUUGAAUUAAUUAAAAUAUUUAAAAGAAAAAUUUAUUUUUUGUACCUUGUGUAUCAGGGUUUAUUAAUUAAAUUUUAUUUAUUUAAUUUUCUCGAAUUAAAAAGUUCUAAUUAAUUAUAUGUUUAAUUUUUUCAUAAAUUUUCUUAAUUUUUAGUUAGUAAUUAAAUGUUAUUCGUUUUUUAAUAUAUCUAGUUUUUAAAGAAAAGAAUUUAAUUCUUUUACUAUCUAUUUAUUCACUAAUUUUUAGUUAAUUAUUUUUAGUAUAAAAUAUUUAAGGGGAUAAGCUUUUAUUUAUAUAAUUAAAAAUAAUUAAUAUAUUUAUUUUUUGUAUAAUUUAAAUUGUUAAUCAUUUGAAUAAUUUAAUAGUUAAUUUUAAUUUAUUUACAAUUUUUAUUUAUUUUAAUUUUUAUAUUUAAAAAAAAUGUUUAAUUAUAAUUCUUUUGUUAUAAUGAUUAAAUUAGUAGAUUAUUUAUUUAUAAAUAAUAAUUUUAUUUAGGUAAUGAAAAGGAAUUCGGCAAAUUAAUUUUUCGCCUGUUUAUUAAAAACAUGUCUUUUUGAUUAUAAUUUAAGGUUUAAUCUGCUCAAUGAUUUAUUAAAUUGCUGCAGUAUUUUGACUGUACAAAGGUAGCAUAAUAAUUAGCUUUUUUAUUGAAAGCUGGAAUGAAUGAUUGGACGAAAAAAUUUCUGUCUCUUUAUUAUUUUUAUUGAAUUUUACUUUUAAGUUAGAAGGCUUAAAUUUUUUUAAAAGACGAGAAGACCCUAUAGAGUUUAAUUUUUUAUGUUUAAUUUUUUUUUGGUAUUUUUGAGAUUUUAUUUUAAAAAGAAUUUGGUUGGGGUGACUAAAAGAUUUGAUAAACUCUUUAAAUUUUAAUCAUUUAUUUAUGAUUAUUAAAUCUAUUUUUAUAAGUUUAAAAUAAAUUACCUUAGGGAUAACAGCGUAAUUUUUCUUUAGAGUUCUUAUUAAAAGAAAAGAUUGCGACCUCGAUGUUGGAUUAAAAUUUAUAUUGGGUGUAGAAGCUUAAUAAUUAAGUCUGUUCGACUUUUAGAAUUUUACAUGAUCUGAGUUUAAACCGGUGUGAACCAGGUUGGUUUCUAUCUUUAAAUUUUUAAUAUAUUUUAGUACGAAAGGACCAAAUAUAUAAUGUAUUAUUUUUAUUUGAAUAUUAU
rnacentral:rRNA from 1 species